rnacentral:rRNA from 1 species
UAAAUUUUGGUUAAGUUAGAAAGGGCGCACGGUGAAUGCCUUGGCACUAGGAGCCGAAGAAGGACGCGACGAACGGCGAAACGCCUCGGGGAGCUGUAAGUGAGCUUUGAUCCGAGGAUAUCCGAAUGGGGGAACCCACUAUUCGUAAUGGAAUAGUACCCAUACCUGAAUACAUAGGGUAUGAGGAGGCAGACCUGGGGAACUGAAACAUCUAAGUACCCAGAGGAAGAGAAAGCAAAUGCGAUUACCUGAGUAGCGGCGAGCGAAACGGUAUCAGCCCAAACCAAGAGGCUUGCCUCUUGGGGUUGUAGGACACUCUAUACGGAGUUACAAAGAAAUAGGAUAGGCGAAGCGAUCUGGAAAGGUCCGCGGUACAAGGUAACAGCCCUGUAGUCGAAAUUCUAUUUCCUCCUGAGUGGAUCCUGAGUACGGCGGGACACGUGAAACCCCGUCGGAAUCCGGGAGGACCAUCUCCCAAGGCUAAAUACUCCCUAGUGACCGAUAGUGAACCAGUACCGUGAGGGAAAGGUGAAAAGCACCCCGGAAGGGGAGUGAAACAGAUCCUGAAACCGUGUGCCUACAACUAGUUGGAGCCCGUUAAUGGGUGACAGCGUGCCUUUUGUAGAAUGAACCGGCGAGUUACGAUGUCGUGCAAGGUUAAGCUGAUAAGGCGGAGCCGUAGCGAAAGCGAGUCUGAAUAGGGCGAAUGAGUACGCCGUCGUAGACCCGAAACCGUGUGAUCUACCCAUGUCCAGGGUGAAGUUCAGGUAACACUGAAUGGAGGCCCGAACCCACGCAUGUUGAAAAAUGCGGGGAUGAGGUGUGGGUAGGGGUGAAAUGCCAAUCGAACUCGGAAAUAGCUGGUUCUCCCCGAAAUAGCUUUAGGGCUAGCCUCGAGGUUGAGAGUUUUGGAGGUAGAGCACUGAUUGGACUAGGGGUCCCCACAGGAUUACCGAAUUCAGUCAAACUCCGAAUGCCAAAAACUUUUACUCGGGAGUCAGACUGCGAGUGCUAAGAUCCGUAGUCAAGAGGGAAACAGCCCAGACCAUCAGCUAAGGUCCCAAAGUAUACGUUAAGUGGAAAAGGAUGUGGAGUUGCCCAGACAACCAGGAUGUUGGCUUAGAAGCAGCCACCAUUUAAAGAGUGCGUAAUAGCUCACUGGUCGAGUGACUCUGCGCCGAAAAUGUACCGGGGCUAAACGUAUCACCGAAGCUAUGGAUUGACACCUUAGGUGUCAGUGGUAGGGGAGCGU